rnacentral:rRNA from 1 species
AGGGUUUGAUUCUGGCUCAGGACGAACGCUGGCGGCGUGCUUAACACAUGCAAGUCGAACGAAGCUUGAUUUAAGAUUUCUUCGGAAUGAUUAAUGAUAUGACUGAGUGGCGGACGGGUGAGUAACGCGUGAGUAACCUGCCCUUCAGAGGGGGAUAGCGUUUGGAAACGAACGGUAAUACCGCAUAACGUAUUUUGACCGCAUGAUCGAAAUACCAAAGCGUUAGCGCUGAAGGAUGGACUCGCGUCUGAUUAGAUAGUUGGUGGGGUAACGGCCUACCAAGUCGACGAUCAGUAGCCGGACUGAGAGGUUGAUCGGCCACAUUGGGACUGAGACACGGCCCAG